CGGCUGGCUCCGUGCCCGUCCACCGAACGGUCGGCAGGCGAUCCGCGUCGGUCGCGCUGGGCGGUAUGGUUCCCCAGAGGCCGGUUCUUGUGCUGCCUACCCCUUCAGGGGAAGAGUUCCAAACUCGAUGUAAGCCUCCAUCCGGCGCCCCCCAAAGGGCGCGGGAGGACAACGGAGCACCCCCCGGCGUUCCACCGAGCCUCCUCGGUCGCGUGGCCCGCGGGGACGUGCGAUGCUCUCGGACCCAGCGAACGCCGUGGGCGAGGACUCACGUCCCGGUCCCAAGUGAAGCAACGGUAUAACGCCGACGGCCGCUCCCGCCCCCCGACCGCCCCGGCGGCGCGGGGGCGAAGGCGCGGCGUCGCUGAGGAAUGCUACCU
rnacentral:misc_RNA from 1 species